rnacentral:lncRNA from 1 species
GCAGCUUUUCCACUGUCCUGAAACAAGAUAGAGAAUCUGAGCGGCCAGUCAUCUGCCCUAAGUGCUGCCGCCGAAGACUGAAUGUCCUGGAAAGUUUGCUGUCACAUCUCCAUUAUGACAAAAGCAUUGUGCCGAACAGAUGAAAAAAUGCAUUGUCAACGGAAUCUUUUAUGUUUGUUUGUCUUCCUUUAAGCAACAUUGCCU